GACGAACGCUGGCGGCGUGCCUAAUACAUGCAAGUCGAGCGGGCCUCUUCGGAGGCCAGCGGCGGACGGGUGAGUAACACGUGGGCAACCUGCCUGUAAGACUGGGAUAACACCGGGAAACCGGUGCUAAUACCGGAUAAUCCUUUCCUUCACAUGAGGGGAAGCUGAAAGACGGCAUCUCGCUGUCCCUUACAGAUGGGCCCGCGGCGCAUUAGCUAGUUGGUUAGGUAACGGCUCACCAAGGCGACGAUGCGUAGCCGACCUGGGAGGGUGAUCGGCCAGAGUGGGAAUGAGACACGGCCCAGACUCCUACGGGAGGCAGCAGUAGGGAAUCUGCAGCAAUGGACGAAAGUCUGACGGAGCAACGCCGCGUGAGCGAAGAAGGCCUGCGGGUCGUAAAGCUCUGUUGUCAGGGAAGAACAAGUACCAGAGUAACUGCCGGUGCCUUGACGGUACCUGACCAGAAAGCCACGGCUAACUACGUGCCAGCCGCCGCAGUAAGAC
rnacentral:rRNA from 1 species